UUCCCUUUGGUUCCAAAGAGCUUAUUGUAGAAGUUAAAAAAAACAUACAGUAAAGAGAUUAUCAUAAUCCUAAUUAUCCUCUAGGCAAUGCAGAAAAGAAAAAACAUAAGGAUAAACAUAUUGAGAUUUGCUCUUGCUCCAGCACAAUUCCCUGAAAGGCUUCUUCUAAGCCUGGUAUCCUGGGAGUGGCAGUGUUUUCAGCGUGGCAGACGGAGCAGUCAGGAAGCUGGGAGCCCAAACAGCGUGAGACAAAGCCACAAAACAGAGGCUGCACAUCAGUCGGUGUGGCACUUCUGCUUUCACUCCCUCUCUCCUGCUGCCGUGUGAAGAUGUGCUUGCUUCCCCUUCACUUUCCAAGAUGAUUGUAAGUUUCCUGAGGCCUCCCCAGCCAUGCCUCCUGUAUAGCCUGCAGAAUGAAAGUGCUCCAGGUGCCUGUGGUCCAUAGAGUGGAGUGAGUCUCUAAGCAAAUCUGGAGGGACUCUGGGAGCUGAAGAUUCAGAAUAUCUCCACUUAUUCUUGCCACAGCCUUUGCUGCUCAACUGUUGGGUGCCAUGAUGAUGGAGUCUCACUCUGUUGCCAGACUGGAGUGCAGUGACACAAUCUCAGCUCACCGCAAACUCCACCUCCCGGGUUCAAGUGAUUCUUCUGCUUCAGCCUCCUGAGUAGCUGGGAUUACAGGUCACUGUAUCUACUUUGCUUCUCCAGCACUGUUGCAUCAGAGAAUGAAAGGAAGGUUGAAUUCAAGGUAUAGAGGUGUCAAGAGAGAAGCAGAUCACGAAUGAACCAUCCCUACUGAGGCAUUUGUUCAUUGAAAAUAUAUCAGUUGAAUGCAAUCCCAUGCUUAGCAUGUGUGACAGUAAUGGGCAAGAAAGUGUGUCUCCUGCUUUCAUGGAAUAUAUGUUCUCCUUCCCAGUGAUGCAUCUUCCACAGCAUAUAAUGAAAGUAACCAUCUGGAAUUGAAGCUGUCCCCCUGUAGAAGCUUAAAAAUAUGUGUGUGUUUUGAGUAGGUGGAUGCCAGAGAGAAAAAAAAAACACAAGGAAGAGGGCUAGGGACGGGAAUCAGUUGGGCAUAGGGCAUCUGGUCCAUGAUCAUCCUUUGUUCGUGCUGAUCUCUGAUGAAAUAUCUGAAGAAGGAAAGACAAACAAGGAGAGGAGAGGGGCCAGGAAGUUUUUUCUACUGGAAGGAAACAACUGGCAUGGGAAAGAAGCACCCUAUGUAUCCCCAACCACAUGCACUGUUUCUAAAACCCAAAAUGCCUCUGAAAGUCAAAUGCAAGCCUGACAGGUGAAUCAUUUGAUUAAGGACCCAUAGCUAGCAAGGGAUUUUCACCAGGGAUGUCUUGCCCAAAGUCUGCAUUUUCUCUGACUGCCAAGCUGCCUCUCGGAUAAUCUGUCUGAUGCAUACAUACUAAGAUGUCAAUCAAGGAUUGGGUUAAGAAAGAAGGUGAUCUUCAUGGAUGGGCUUCAGCUGGAUGGAUCUCAGCCUUCUUAAGGCUUCUUGGUCAAGAUCUACACAGAAAUGCAGAAACCACUUUGAAGGGGGUUGGUGAGCAUGGCUAGUAAAACUGUGGAAGGGGUGUGUUGUGCUGAACCCCUAUUAACCUCAAUAGGGAAGCCAGCAGGUUCAAGAAGUUGAAGGAGAGACCCAGAGCCAUCAUAUGGACAUGGGGUUUCUUUCUUUUGUUUUCUUUUUCUUUUUUUUUUUUGAGACAGAGUCUCGCACUGUCACCCAGGCUGGAGUGCAGUGGUGCAUCUCGGCUCGCUGCAAGCUCCGCCUCCCAGGUUCACACCAUUGUCCUGCCUCA